rnacentral:rRNA from 1 species
UCUGCCCUUUGUACACACCGCCCGUCGCUACUACCGAUUGAAUGGCUUAGUGAGGUCUUGGGAUUGGCUUCGGGGAGCCGGCAACGGCACCCUGUUGCUGAGAACUUGAUCAAACUUGGUCAUUUAGAGGAAGUAAAAGUCGUAACAAGGUUUCCGUAGGUGAACCUGCGGAAGGAUCAUUAAUGAAUUUUGAAAGGGGUUGUAGCUGGCCGUCUCUUUGGGGCGGCAUGUGCACGCCCUGAUCACUAUCCAUCUCACACACCUGUGCACACACUGUAGGUUGGCUUGUGAUCGGAGUUACGGUCUUCAUUGACUUUGCUCUGGUUGGAGGCCCUCCUAUGUAUUAUCACAAACUACUUCAGUUUAAAGAAUGUACUCUUGCGUCUAACGCAUUUAAAUACAACUUUCAGCAACGGAUCUCUUGGCUCUCGCAUCGAUGAAGAACGCAGCGAAAUGCGAUAAGUAAUGUGAAUUGCAGAAUUCAGUGAAUCAUCGAAUCUUUGAACGCACCUUGCGCUCCUUGGUAUUCCGAGGAGCAUGCCUGUUUGAGUGUCAUGGAACUCUCAACUCUAUUUGCUUUUGUGAAUAGAGCUUGGAUUUGGAGGUUUAUUGCUGGUACUUGUGAUCGGCUCCUCUUGAAUGCAUUAGCUCGAACCUUUGCGGAUCAGCUAUCGGUGUGAUAAUUGUCUACGCCGUUGCAGUGAAGCAUAUCAAUGGGCUCGGCUUCCAAUCGUCCUUUACUGGACAAUGACUUUGACCUCUGACCUCAAAUCAGGUAGGAUUASC